rnacentral:rRNA from 1 species
UACGUAGGGGGCAAGCGUUGUCCGGAUUUAUUGGGCGUAAAGAGCGUGUAGGCGGCUUGGUAGGUCCGCUGUGAAAACUCAAGGCUCAACCUCGAGAUGUCGGCGGAAACCACUUGGCUAGAGUCCGGAAGAGGAGAGUGGAAUUCCUGGUGUAGCGGUGAAAUGCGCAGAUAUCAGGAAGAACACCUAUGGCGAAGGCAGCUCUCUGGGACGGUACUGACGCUGAGACGCGAAAGCGUGGGGAGCAAACAGG